rnacentral:rRNA from 1 species
GAUGAACGCUGGCGGCGUGCCUAAUACAUGCAAGUCGAGCGAACGGACGAGAAGCUUGCUUCUCUGAUGUUAGCGGCGGACGGGCGAGUAACACGUGGAUAACCUACCUAUAAGACUGGGAUAACUUCGGGAAACCGGAGCUAAUACCGGAUGAUAUUUUGAACCGCAUGGUUCAAAAGUGAAAGACGGUCUUGCUGUCACUUAUAGAUGGAUCCGCGCUGCAUUAGCUAGUUGGUAAGGUAACGGCUUACCAAGGCAACGAUGCAUAGCCGACCUGAGAGGAUGAUCGGCCACACUGGAACUGAGACACGGUCCAGACUCCUACGGGAGGCAGCAGUAGGGAAUCUUCCGCAAUGGGCGAAAGCCUGACGGAGCAACGCCGCGUGAGUGAUGAAGGUCUUCGGAUCGUAAAACUCUGUUAUUAGGGAAGAACAUAUGUGUAAGUAACUGUGCACAUCUUGACGGUACCUAAUCAGAAAGCCACGGCUAACUACGUG